ACAGUAACAAAACAAUGAUUGAAAACCUCCCUCCACCAUUCAAGUAGAAGAUUUACUUUCCCACUGUGGAUUCCAUUUCUUUCUAUUUCCCUCUUCUUCCUGCAUUGUCCUUUCACCCUUUUAAAACAUCUAAAUGAAGAGAAGGGGAAAGGGCAGAGGAAAACAGCUCAGUAAAAGCCUGAAGGCAGCGAGGAGGUUUUUCUGCUUCUUCUCCACGGUACCAAACGAGAAGCCUGCAAAUUUUCUUCUGCUUUACGCUCCUGCUCUGCAAGUGUUUGUGGUUACAGUUCUAUGCUGGCAAUUUCUGACCUGUUGUUUUGCUGCUGUGUUUGUCGUGUCGUGAAAUAAGUCCACACCAGUGCACACAAGCCCUUUCAAUCCCAGGCACUGCCUCCAGCUCUGGGCUCUUCGCUUGGACUUACAGAUUGCAGGGUCUUUUUGGGCACUCGGAGUCUUCUGGAAGGCAUAAAGAAAGGAGCAGAGCGUGUUGGAGCCAGCAGCAGAACAGAGGCACCGCUUAGAGCUGCAGAAGCAGGAGCAGGAGGCUGGGCAGCGAUGACGGCCAGAUUUAAUGGGGAGGAGCCAGGGCCAGCACGGGGCUCAGCGCUUGGCUCCAGUCAGUGCAUUGGGUGCGUGGAUGCGGGAGAGAAAUAAAUGAAGAGUCAUAGCGAAGACAUCUUCGCAGCCAAGGGAAAGGGAACUGACGUUGGGGAUCGCUGGAGCGGGGAGCAGAGGGAGCCUGCUGGGUCUGGCUUCCACCCGCAGCAAGCUAACAUCUGGGCACAGCUGUUUCCCGGAGCCCUUUCUGCAGCUGCACGUCACCUUCUUUGGCGGCCAUGGAGUCGAAUGGCAGUUUCCUCGGUUGCAACAGCUUGAAAGAUGACAAGGACCUGAAGUUCCUCUUGAAAGGCAGCCAGCUGCUAAAAGUGAAGUCAAGCUCUUGGAGGAAGGAGCGGUUUUAUAAGCUCCAGGAGGACUGCAAAACCAUAUGGCAGGAAUCAAAGAAGAUGCUGAGGUCUCCAGACUCCCAGAUCUGUAAGUAAAGUUUGUACCAUCACAGGAAUAGGGCACUGACUGCCUGGGGCCAACCAGGACCAUUAUGAACCAGAACCAGGGGUUCUUGGGGUAAACCAGAACCAGGACAAUUGCACAGUGAGCAUAAUGACAUGGAACCAUGAGACCAGGUCCUUCACACAUCCUGUAUCAUACACUGAGUUACGCUAUCUGCUCUGAACACAGCUAGUAAGAAUCAGGAAUGUCAGGAAUGGUCACAUUUCCCAAGCUCAUGAGCUACUGCUCAAAAUUGUCAUGGAGUAGAACAACAGGAACCACAGGGGCUGUGUGACAUGGCAUGGUGUGACAAUGGAAGUGCAGGCAAGGGGACACCAAUAGCAAUUGGCACCCAGCUGUCUCAUUGCUGUGUGGGAUUAUCACAAUGGGACACUGGGCUAUGCUGGGCUCAGCAGCCCUGCCUGGCUUAUUUCUUCCCCAAAGUACAAGUUCAGGUUACUCAGGUGUCUCUGUGGUUGUACUCGAUUCUCUAAUGCCCUAAUGCUCAGUGUGAGACAUAGCUUGAGCAUCCAUGGCAUGGUAUGGUGCAC
rnacentral:lncRNA from 1 species